rnacentral:rRNA from 1 species
AACGAACGCUGGCGGCAGGCCUAACACAUGCAAGUCGAACGCUGUAGCAAUACAGAGUGGCAGACGGGUGAGUAACGCGUGGGAACGUGCCCUUUGGUUCGGAAUAACCCAGGGAAACUUGGGCUAAUACCGGAUACGUCCGUAAGGAGAAAGAUUUAUCGCCAAAGGAUCGGCCCGCGUCGGAUUAGCUAGUUGGUGAGGUAAAGGCUCACCAAGGCGACGAUCCGUAGCUGGUCUGAGAGGAUGACCAGCCACACUGGGACUGAGACACGGCCCAGACUCCUACGGGAGGCAGCAGUGAGGAAUAUUGGACAAUGGGCGCAAGCCUGAUCCAGCCAUGCCGCGUGAGUGAAGAAGGCCUUAGGGUUGUAAAGCUCUUUCAGCGGGAAGAUAAUGACGGUACCCGCAGAAGAAGCCCCGGCUAACUCUGUGCCAGCCGCCGCGGUAACAC